ACCCUUGAAAGUGGAAGAUCUGCGACUGAUUGUUUCACUAAUGAGGGUUUGGUUCUGAAGCAUCUGUGACAUCGAUGAAACACAGACUUCGUCAAGUUGCGUCCACCGAUGAUCCAAAAACGUUGACGGAGUAUCGAUAACAAAAGUUCCGGACCGGCAUGCAGGUGAUUCUGGUGGUAUGCCUGUGCCAACAAUACUGCCAAUUGAUGCUUGGAAGAAAGCAAUAUUGGAUGUUUUGACGAUUCUUCGAGUUGCGCAUUGCGUAGCCGGCCACCAACACGCAUUAAUCCCGCCUGGUCGAUGAAUGGGGAUAACCAUUUUAGUCGCGAGCUACGUGGUAUCUGUCUUCCAUUGGCAAUCUCGGUCCGCUCGUCCGGGAACGAAUCCUGCUGCGCUAAUAGACACAACUGAAGCUCGGCUCGGUGUAACUCGUUGCUUGUCAGAGGUGGUACUGUGACGAUGAGUGAAUGAAUGGAGCGAUGCGUAUUGUUUGCUGACCCCGUUGAUGAUUUGCUCGACUUCAUGCACGCAAUGAAACGCAAACAAUAUGCCGUAGUUCGACGUAGUCGCAGGUAAGUAGAGAACCGUGAAAAAAAGCUGUUGCUAAACUCAUUGGUCAUUGACAAGGAAGCAACCUGCAUUUGAACCGCCCGUUCUUCUCCCGUUGAUUCGAUUCCUCCUGUUUCAGGUUCUCCUUUUGGCCAUGCGUCUUCUUUGCUGCUCAGCCAAUACGGUCCGUGCCACCACCGAUGGCAUGAUAGUAAUUUAUCAGGAAGCAGACCGCGCGACACAUCGUCUGCUGGGUUGUCCACACCCGGAACAUGACGCCAGCAUUUUAUUUUUGUUUCUGCCUGAAUUUGUGCUACUCUAUUUGCAACGAAUGGCUUCCAACGCCUUGGUGGUGAGUUUAGCCAGUGUAAGACGGUCAUUGAAUCAGUCCAGCAAAAGGCUUCGCAAAUACUGGGAAUAGACUGACUGACCUUCCGAAACAGUUGCGUUGCCAAUCUUGCAGCACAAAGCUCCAACCUUGCGAUUGAAUUGGUGUUCGCCAAUGACACCACUUUCGAUUUUGCCGCCAUAAGUUGCACCGAAAUUCCUGAAGGGCCCUCUGUUCUGAUGUAGCAACAAGCACCGUAAGCUAGUUGCGAAGCAUCUGCGAAAAUGUGCAACUGCUUACUUGUUGCUCCUCUAAGUGAUGUGAACCGAGGGAUGCGCACUUCACGGAGUAAGUGUAGCUUGGAAUGAAACACCAUCCAUUCCUUUUGUAGAUGUGAUGGGAGCUCAGUAUCCCAAUCCCAAGCCUUCCCGUUUGAUUUUAAGGCCCACAAUUGUUGCAUAAAGAGUUUGGCAAUAAUGAUGGUUGGGCCAAGUAAACCGAGUGGGUCGAAAACCCUUGCGAUGUAUGAUAAAGUUAGCCUCUUUGUUAACACCGUCGCCGUAGGUGGCAGAUCGAUCCGAAACCGAAGUAUAUCAACUGCGGGUUCCCAAACCAAGCCCAGCGUUGAUACGAAUUGUUGAUCUUGCCAUUCGUGAGUAGGAAGCAUUGCCAAAUCAUCCGAUGGGACACCUUCUAGAGCUUCCGGUACGUUGGAUGCCCACUUUUUCAACGAGAAGCCAGCUGAAUUAAGCAUUCCCGAUAUCUGCUUCCGUAUCUCAGCCGCAUCCGCUACGUCUUCUGUUCCUGUUAGUAGAUCGUCCACAUAGAAGUCGUGGAGUACUGCAUUCACCGCUCUUGGAUAGUGCGUUUGAUGAUCAUGAGCGAUUUGUUGCAAGGUCCUAGUUGCCAGAAAGGGCGCCGAUGCGGUACCGUAGGUAACUGUUUGUAGCUGGUAGGUUUUAAUCGGUACUUCCGGAUUCUCUCGGUACCGAAUGCGAAGGUAUCGUUGGUCGCAUUCAUCGUGCAGCACUUGGCGAUACAUCUUCUCUACAUCCGCUGAUAGGGCGACUGCGUGCGAACGAAACCGAACGAUGAUGUUGAAAAGGUCGUCUUGAAUCACAGGCCCAACCAACAGCUUGUCAUUCAAUGAGUAACCCGAGGAUGUCUUACACGAAGCAUCGAAUACAACUCUGACCUUCGUGGUUGUGCUCGUCUCCUUCACUACCGCGUGAUGAGGAAGAUAGUAGUGUUCACAAGUGUCAUCAAUCGGUUCGGGUUGGAUUUCAAACGACGUUCUACUGCUAGGAGCCGACGAUCAGCUAUCGCCUUGGAUGCUCCUAAAACGAUACCAGGAUUAGUGGAUUGAGAACCGUUCCAAGAUCGAUUCCAGUGGGGAUGAUUCGCUGGUAGAAAGGUGAAAAGCCGAUGAUCCUUGUGCGGAAGUCUUCGACGAAUGCCCAGCGACGACCCAACCGAAAGGGGUUUCCACUAGCCACGGUUUCCCUUUGCCGAGGGACCGCUUCCUGCCGGAAUGCAGCUCCCAAUACGUGUCUCCUCCGAUGAUAAUGUCGAUCUGGCCAGGCUUGUAGAACGAUGGAUCCGCGAGUGGCACAUCAGGGAUUCUCCACGCCGACGCAUCAACGGGUGCCGGUGGAAUAUGCCAGAAUGGAGCGUCAACAAUGAGCAACUCCAGCUGAGCGACAUGCGUACGGUUCGUUGAUUCCACGGAUGCGAUAAGUGAACCGUUCACUCGCUGCACUGCGUUCCCGAUGCCUGAUACCGAAACGUUCACCUUCUUCCGAGGUGUUCCAAUGAGCUUCCGAGCCAGUGCCUCGGAAAUGAAAUUCGACAUAGAGCCCGAAUCGAGGAGAGCUCUUGCCUCAUGCCGAUUUCCGUAACCAUCCACGAUGGACAGCAGCGUCGUUUCCAAAAACACCAUGUGGUUGUCUGUUUGCGCUGUCAUUGCGACCGUUGCGUUAGGAAGAGGAGAGUGUAAUAAUGUGUGGUGACGCUGACCACACGUACGGCAGGUAUAAUCCGACUUACAUGCCUUUACUUGGUGGGAAUCACUUAAACAGUUCCAACACAAAUGUUUCGAAGCCACAAUAUCACGACGUUGUUGCACGUCCUUUCCAAAAAAUACCGGACAGUUGCGAAGAAGGUGGCCCUCAACGCACUGUAAAGGACACUUGUGGCUCGUUGCACUGGGUGGCGAUGAUCGCGUAGGAGUUGCGGUUGCGAUCGAUCGUCGUGAUGUAGAUGGACGAGCGGAGCCGGCCACCUUUCGCGAACAAUCACUGCGUCAUUAGCAAAGUUGUUGGUCGAUUUCAAAAUUUGUAUCCUAUCAUGUACAAAAUCGAGCACGUCCUUAUAUCUGUCCCUAGUGAAGUGCACCGAAUGUUUCUCCCACGCUAAAACUGUUGCUCGAUCCAACUUCAUGAGCAACAUGUUCGACAGCGGCGUGUCCCACGAAUCUACUGGUUCAUUCAGUUUCACAAAACCGUUCACGUAUCGCGAAAAUUCGUCCACUAAGUUCGUCAGUUUUUCAACACUCUCCGAUUGAACGCAGGGUAAAUAGUGCAAUUUACGGUAAUACUCACGUACGAGCAGGCGCGAAUUAUCGUAGCGUUUGAGCAACGCUGCCCAGGUCACUGAAUAGUUGUCAGCCGUGAGAGAGGUGUGUUCAAAAGGUAGGGCCGCGUCCCCUUUCAAAGAAGAGAGCAAAUAUUCCAAUUUUGCUAUCGAUGGCAGCUCUGGUGAAGCGUCGAUCAUGGCGAUAAAUCGAUCGCGAAACGACAGCCAUUUCGUUUGGUCCCCAUCGAAGGUCGGCAGCUCGAUCUUAGGGAGACGCAAGUGCGGUGCGUUCGGCCGUCCAAACGCUAGCGUAGAAGAAACCAAACCCGUGGUUUCGUUGAGGGAACCGUCUUCCUUUCGAUUAUUCUCGCGUAAGAAAGAUUUUAUUUUUCUACACCGCUCUUCGAUAUUGAUUCGGUCCAUAAUGCACGCUUCGAUCGCGUCAUUGGUAUCGUCGAGCUCUUCCAACUUUGAUACCGCGGCGAAGAACCCUUCCCUAUGUCUCUCCAGGUCUUCUAACGCUUCUGGGAUUUGCUUGUAGUCAUCCCCGGAAUAUUGUCCAAUAAACCGUUCGAGAGCGUUUAUGUUUUCCACUGCGAUCCUCCUUUUUAGUUGUAUGGCCUUUAUUUUCUUAUCCAUAUUUCACUUUACACACGAAAGAAACAACACUUUGGCGC